UAAUACGUAGGGGGCAAGCGUUGUCCGGAUUUAUUGGGCGUAAAGCGCUCGCAGGUGGUCACGUGCGUCGUGCGUGAAAGACCCCGGCUCAACUGGGGGCUGUCGUGCGAUACGGCGUGACUGGAGGCCAGUAGGGGGAUGCGGAAUUCCGGGUGUAGUGGUGGAAUGCGUAGAGAUCCGGAGGAACACCAGCGGCGAAGGCGGCAUCCUGGACUGGUCCUGACACUCAGGAGCGAAAGCGUGGGGAGCGAUCCGGAUUAGAUACCCGGGUAGUCCACGCCGUAAACGAUGAGCACUAGGUGUCGGGGGUAUCGACCCCCUCGGUGCCGCAGCUAACGCGAUAAGUGCUCCGCCUGGGGACUACGGCCGCAAGGCUA
rnacentral:rRNA from 1 species